GCUGGCGGCGUGCCUAAUACAUGCAAGUAGAACGCUGAAGGAGGAGCUUGCUUCUCUGGAUGAGUUGCGAACGGGUGAGUAACGCGUAGGUAACCUGCCUGGUAGCGGGGGAUAACUAUUGGAAACGAUAGCUAAUACCGCAUAAGAGUAGAUGUUGCAUGACAUUUGCUUAAAAGGUGCACUUGCAUCACUACCAGAUGGACCUGCGUUGUAUUAGCUAGUUGGUGGGGUAACGGCUCACCAAGGCGACGAUACAUAGCCGACCUGAGAGGGUGAUCGGCCACACUGGGACUGAGACACGGCCCAGACUCCUACGGGAGGCAGCAGUAGGGAAUCUUCGGCAAUGGACGGAAGUCUGACCGAGCAACGCCGCGUGAGUGAAGAAGGUUUUCGGAUCGUAAAGCUCUGUUGUAAGAGAAGAACGAGUGUGAGAGUGGAAAGUUCACACUGUGACGGUAUCUUACCAGAAAGGGACGGCUAACUACGUGCCAGCAGCCGCGGUAAUACGUAGGUCCCGAGCGUUGUCCGGAUUUAUUGGGCGUAAAGCGAGCGCAGGCGGUUAGAUAAGUCUGAAGUUAAAGGCUGUGGCUUAACCAUAGUAGGCUUUGGAAACUGUUUAACUUGAGUGCAAGAGGGGAGAGUGGAAUUCCAUGUGUAGCGGUGAAAUGCGUAGAUAUAUGGAGGAACACCGGUGGCGAAAGCGGCUCUCUGGCUUGUAACUCACGCUGAGGCUC
rnacentral:rRNA from 1 species